rnacentral:rRNA from 1 species
UACGUAGGGCGCAAGCAUUAUCCGGAGUGACUGGGCGUAAAGAGUUGCGUAGGUGGUUUGUUAAGUGAAUAGUGAAAUCUGGUGGCUCAACCAUACAGACUAUUGUUCAAACUGACAAACUCGAGAAUAGCAGAGGUAACUGGAAUUUCUAGUGUAGGAGUGAAAUCCGUAGAUAUUAGAAGGAACACCAAUGGCGUAGGCAGGUUACUGGGCUAUUUCUGACACUGAGGCACGAAAGCGUGGGGAGCGAACCGG